UAUAUUUGCUACUUGAUUACGAUAGACGUAGUUAGCGCAUAAAAAUUAUUUAAAUAAUAUUGGAAUG
rnacentral:ncRNA from 1 species